GGGCCCCAGGAGACAGGGACAGUUUUUUCUAGUUCAUACUGUAUUUUUAGCGCUUCCUACUGUAGUUUUUAUUUUUAUUUUACUGGUAAUGUCUUUCUAGUUUUCGAUUUCCAAAGCUCAUUUGUUUGACUUUUCUUUUCGGAUAGGUGCGCACACGUACACCGCAUCCACGUAUACGGGCGUGUACAUCUCUGUGAUAAGCAUGUCAGAAUAGAACUACUUCCACCGUAGUUUGCACUAAAACAACGACAAGUAUUUAGAAACGAAAAGAGUACUUAGUUAAAUCCAUGAUUUUCCUUUUUUUAACAAUGAUUUUAUCUUAUAUCUCAUGGCAUGUGGAACAAAAGGUUUUUUUUAACUCGUCGGAGUACUCUUUUUUCCCUCCAGUUUUCUAUCAAAGGAUUGAACUUGAUUAGGCAGGUUGCACCACGGCCAGUCUUACCAGCAGGUAUGGCUCAAUUCGCAACUUGACUGUUGGAAGUAUUGCAGAAAGAGUCGAGUAAUAAAUCCUUAAGCCAUGUUCGCAAGAUCAAGAAGUUUUUUUUUCGAGAAGGUCA
rnacentral:lncRNA from 1 species